UACGGGGGGAGCAAACGUUGUUCGGAAUCACUGGGCGUAAAGGGCGUGUAGGCGGCUGAAUAAGUGGGAUGUUAAAUCCCCCGGCUCAACCGGGGACCUGCAUCUCAUACUGUUCAGCUCGAGCACAUCAGAGGAGACUGGAAUUCCCGGUGUAGCGGUGAAAUGCGUAGAUAUCCGGAGGAACACCAGUGGCGAAGGCGACUUUCUGGCCUGUUCUUGACGCUGAGGCGCGAAAGCUAGGGGAGCAAACGGG
rnacentral:rRNA from 1 species